rnacentral:lncRNA from 1 species
AUGGAUUUCCCCCAGCCUUGCAGAGGAGGAAGCUGGGUGCUGCCCCAGGUGAUUUCGGGUCCAUCACAAGACCUCGUGCACUGUACCCAUUACCGAGGCCAGAAGCCGAUGUUUCCAUACCUUCUCAGCCCUGGGAGGAAGCCCCAGCUUGAAGUCUCACCCCUGUACACCGUUUUGUGUCUAUGGCCAGAUGUACCCAGCAGCCACAAACCCAAACUAUGUGGCAGUGACAACGCGGGGACCACAAAGUGCAUUUUGUGAUGUGCCAGUGGGCUGAGUUCAAAGCGGUUCCUUUUACCAUUUCAUCCUCUAAAUUACU